AUUGAACGCUGGCGGCAGGCUUAACACAUGCAAGUCGAGCGGGGUGAUGGUGCUUGCACUAUCACUUAGCGGCGGACGGGUGAGUAAUGCUUAGGAAUCUGCCUAUUAGUGGGGGACAACAUCUCGAAAGGGAUGCUAAUACCGCGUACGUCCUACGGGAGAAAGCAGGGGAUCACUUGUGACCUUGCGCUAAUAGAUGAGCCUAAGUCGGAUUAGCUAGUUGGUGGGGUAAAGGCCUACCAAGGCGACGAUCGGUAGCGGGUCUGAGAGGAUGAUCCGCCACACUGGGACUGAGACACGGCCCAGACUCCUACGGGAGGCAGCAGUGGGGAAUAUUGGACAAUGGGGGGAACCCUGAUCCAGCCAUGCCGCGUGUGUGAAGAAGGCCUUAUGGUUGUAAAGCACUUUAAGCGAGGAGGAGGCUCUUUUGGUUAAUACCCAGAAUGAGUGGACGUUACUCGCAGAAUAAGCACCGGCUAACUCUGUGCCAGCCGCCGCCGUAA
rnacentral:rRNA from 1 species